UCCUUAGUGGCUCAGAUGGUAAAGAAUCUGCCUGCAAUGCAGAAGACCUGGGUUCAAACCCUGGGUUGGGAA
rnacentral:tRNA from 1 species